GAAUUGAUUUGCUGAAAUCAAAACAGGGACGAUAAUAGGUGAGCGCCAGCCAAUGAGAUUGUCGUUUGCGCAUUAGUUCCGCCCACUACCAGAGAAACCAGCAGUUCUUAAAAGCUGAAGAAUUCCAAAGGAACUCCGUUAUUUUGACAGGAAAAUACAACAAAGAAUAUCGUUUACAUGUAGCGCGUCAAUUCUGCAUGUUAUGAAAGACUCUCUUGCUCUGUAUCUUUCUUUGCGUGCGGGUAUGUGAGAGAAAGCGACGGCGAGUCGUGUGACUUCACACUAGAGUUUAUGGAGAAACAUCUGAAAUGCUGUUGAUACUAAAAUGAGAGAUAUAUGAGAAUCUCAUCUAAAUCUCCUGAACUUAGGAAGAGCAACCACUGAGCAAUACAUUUUUCCUAUGGAGUGAGCAACAGAGAACAAUAUCUCUGGCAAAUAUGCUGUUAUUGUGGAUGAUUUUGACGUCAUGAGCAGGAUGUUAAGUUUGGACCGUCUGCCUGGUUGGCUGAUCUGCAACUCACACACACAGACACAAACUGCGCUAAGAGGGAAGCAUGCUGCGAGAUGCUGCGAGCUCUCAGUGAUGGGUGAUGAAAAGACUCUCAGACAGACGACUGACAAGUGCCUUGAGCUUCAACUCAAUUGUGUGAUCCGCCAUCAUUAUCAGCCUUAUAGCACUGACACCCACCGUCUUCUGAUGUCCGGCUGCUUGAGGGUAUAACCUGGUUGUACUCCAAUGUAUUUUUCUUUGCCUUCAUUCCAAAAGGAACUCAUUUUGUUUAUUUCUCGCUUCUUUCUCAAUCUAUCAUCUCCUGUGUUCAGGCUUGCUCAUAAAAUAAUGCUAAGAAGAUUGAAUUUUUACUGCUGCAAUUUCAGCACAUUUGGUCCGCUCUGAGUUGCUGGUGACCACUGCUGCUAAAUGACUGUAUAUUUCUUCUUAUUUGCAAUGAGGCACUUCUUGCGUUAGAGAAGAACUUUAAAACCUUGAGAAUAUUUUGAAGCAGGGUUGAGUAUAAUAUAAGGCUCUUGUAAACUGAAUUUUUAACAACACCACAAAUUAUGUUGAAUUGGAAUUUGAAUUGAGAUGGCAGAAAGAGGAAUUUACAGAAUUGCAAUUAAAAAAAAAAAAUCAAUGUGGUCUCACUAAAGAGAAAUUUCAUUAGUCCAAUAAAGCAGAUUGAGCAAGAACAUAUUGAUUUAUAAUUCUGUUUCUGGUUUCCAUCUUGUAAGCUGCUCCAUUUUAAACAGUUUAGGGUAAAUUAGAGCGUUUGGAAGAUACAGUGUUUUUACAUCAUUUUGAACACUUUGGGGUAAAUUAAAAGAUUUUUGGGAAAUAAAGUGUUUUAUCAGAUUCCCAUGUGUAGGUUCAGUAAUUUCACUUUAAUGGCAAUGGAUAGGUUCUUUUAAUUGCCAUCAAAGUCAAAUAAUUGAACAUAAACAUAGGAGCCCGAUAAAAAAAUGCUAAUUUUAGAAGAAAAUUGCA